rnacentral:piRNA from 1 species
UACUUGUCCACAUUUAUCCUGGUUGGCUGC